GUUUUGACUAAUUUUUUGAAGAGAAAAAAAAGAAGAAAUAAGAAUUAAGAAACAACUCUCAAUAAGCCAAUGUAGUGAUUUAUAAGUAUGAUGAUCGAUUAAGUUCGAGUUACACUAGCGGUCUAGUCACGCUAUAAUCACGACUUGGUCGCAGAAGCUUCAAACAUUAUUCAAUACUCUGAAGUGUAACUUGCACAUGAAUGUUGACGAGUACUGGAUCAUCGAAAAACAAGGUUUAUUCUCAUGAUUCAAGGUUUUUAAACUCAGACGUGUGAAUUCUGUGCUAUUCUUUUGUUUUGUUUCAGAUGUUUAUAUUUCCUGAAAUGAAAACAAGUAUGAUUUGCUUUCUAUGCAACACGUGCAAGUAUUAUAUACAAUGGUUUCCGGUUAAAACAAGUCGAUAACAGAAACCGAUAUAAAAAAAAACAAACACAUCUUCUGCAAAAUAUUACCAGAGAUUAAUCUUCGAACUCAAUCAUUUUCUGUUCACAAAAGAAACAGCACUAUUUUCUAAUUAUUUAUAUAAAACAAAAAAAUAUCAUAAGCAGAAGAAAAGACAGUAUCUUUCUUAUUUUCAAAGCUCAAUCUCAUCAAACAACCAUGUUAAGUCUUACCAAAUCAGUCUCAACUAAGGAUUAACUGAUGAAAGAAGUAUACAGGUAUCGAGAAAGGGAAAUGAGCACAAAGGUCAACGGGAUUCCUGUACCAAAUAAGUUCUGAGGAAAAGAAGCAUUCCAUAUGGCAUACUUGUUGAUUGUGGAAAUUAUGUAUUACUCCCAUCUGAUAGUGCACGAUCAGAAAGCUAUAAUCAUUCUUUAUACUAUACGAGUGGAGAUGGUACAAAUAGCAUAACUGUAUGUACGGAUCUUCUGCUCGGGAGUGACGGGGAGCAAGCCGACAUUUUUAUUCUAAUGCGUGCUCACCGGCUGCGUUCACCAAGGUAAACGCGCUCGGAACGCUGGUGAAAAUAACAGAGCUCGGUACGUCAUAUGCCUCUCUAUCGACUACACUACUGAUUUUACUGUGUGGAAAUUGCAACAAUACAAGAGACCAAUAUUAGUUGGAUUAAUUUAUAAGUAAGCUUAGUAAAUGGAAAUUUAAAAAAUAAUUAAUUAUUU
rnacentral:lncRNA from 1 species